UCCUGGCUACAGAACGAACGCUGGCGGCAGGCCUAACACAUGCAAGUCGAGCGGGGGAGCAAUCCCUAGCGGCGGACGGGUUAGUAACGCGUGGGAACAUACCCUUUGGUACGGAAUAGCCUCGGGAAACUGAGAGUAAUACCGUAUGUGCCCUUCGGGGGAAAGAUUUAUCGCCAAAGGAUUGGCCCGCGUUGGAUUAGGUAGUUGGUGGGGUAAUGGCCUACCAAGCCUACGAUCCAUAGCUGGUUUGAGAGGACGACCAGCCACACUGGAACUGAGACACGGUCCAGACUCCUACGGGAGGCAGCAGUGGGGAAUUUUGGACAAUGGACGCAAGUCUGGUCCAGCCAUUCCGCGUGCAGGAUGAAGGCCCUCGGGUUGUAAACUGCUUUUGUACGGAACGAAACGGUGAGCUCUAAUACAGUUUGCUAAUGACGGUACCGUAAGAAUAAGCACCGGCUAACUACGUG
rnacentral:rRNA from 1 species